GCAGAAGUGGCUCAGUGGUAGAGCAUCGCCUUGCCAAGGCGAGGGUCGCGGGUUCGAAUCCCGUCUUCUGCU
rnacentral:tRNA from 1 species